UACGUAGGGUGCAAGCGUUGUCCAGAUUUAUUGGGCGUAAAGAGCGUGUAGGCGGCCUGAAAGGUCAGCUGUGAAAACUCGAGGCUCAACCUCGAGACGUCGGUUGAAACCAUCUGGCUAGAGUCCGGAAGAGGAGUGUGGAAUUCCCGGUGUAGCGGUGAAAUGCGCAGAUAUCGGGAAGAACACCCGUGGCGAAGGCAGAUCUCUGGGCCGUAACUGACGCUGAGGAGCGAAAGCAUGGGGAGCGAACAGG
rnacentral:rRNA from 1 species